UGUUAAGUAAUAUUUAUCUAGUUUUAUUUAUUAAGGGUAGAAUAGUAUUUUCAGUUUAACCUAUAUAUAAUUCCUUUGUAUUUAGGUUAACUUAAGCACUCAUAAUAAACAUAUUAUUGAGAAUUCUAGCCUCCUUUUAUGUUUCAUCUGAAUUACUUUAACAUGGUAUCAGAGCCUAGUUGAUCGAACCCUUGGCUUGUUAAUUUUAUGGAACUCGUUGCCCUUGUAGAAAUCAUGUUCACCAAUGUUAGAGCCACUGCUCGUAUCAAAAUCGUUAUCAUCAUCCACUUCAUUCCCUGUAGGAUGUUCCAACACGCUCAAUGUAUUCCUUUGAAGCUUAACUUCAGAUUCAUUUUUCAAAACAUCAGACAUGGGUUGUUUGACCUAUUAAAAGAUGGAGGAUGAAGAUCAAGUUUUGUGCUUGCGGCUGAAGAAUUAAUAUCUGAAACAUUAUUUUAGAUUCUUCAGCUUCUGCAAUUUGGUAUUUCUGUUCUGUCUCUGCAAUUGUUUUGGUAUUUCAUCUUCUCUUCAGUUUCUGCAAUUUGGUAUCAGCUUCUGCAAUUUGGUAUUUCUAUUCUGUCUCUGCAAUUGUUUUGGUAUUUCGUCUUCUCUUCAGCUUCUGCAAUUUGGUAUUUCUGUUCUGUCUCUGCAAUUGUUUAGCUUCUGCAAUUUGGUAUCAGCUUCUGCAAUUUGGUAUUUCUGUUCUGUCUCUGCAAUUGUUUUGGUAUUUCAUCUUCUCUUCAGUUUCUGCAAUUUGGUAUCAGCUUCUGCAAUUUGGGAUUUCUAUUCUGUCU
rnacentral:lncRNA from 1 species